CCUACGGGGGGCAGCAGUGGGGAAUAUUGGACAAUGGGGGGAACCCUGAUCCAGCCAUGCCGCGUGUGUGAAGAAGGCCCUCGGGUUGUAAAGCACUUUCAGUGAGGAAGAACGCCUGGUGGUUAAUACCCAUCAGGAAAGACAUCACUCACAGAAGAAGCACCGGCUAACUCCGUGCCAGCAGCCGCGGUAAUACGGAGGGUGCGAGCGUUAAUCGGAAUUACUGGGCGUAAAGCGCGCGUAGGUGGCUUGAUAAGCCGGUUGUGAAAGCCCCGGGCUCAACCUGGGAACGGCAUCCGGAACUGUCAAGCUAGAGUGCAGGAGAGGGAGGUAGAAUUCCCGGUGUAGCGGUGAAAUGCGUAGAGAUCGGGAGGAAUACCAGUGGCGAAGGCGGCCUUCUGGACUGACACUGACACUGAGGUGCGAAAGCGUGGGUAGCAAACAGGAUUAGAUACCCUAGUAGUC
rnacentral:rRNA from 1 species